AACACAGAGCGAGGAGAGACUCCCCAAGCUCAAACCCUAAUUAUCUAGAAUUGAUCAAAUUGAAGGCCAAAUUCCGUUCCAAAUCGAAACCCGAGUAUAGAAUAGUGAUCACCGCAGUAAAGGGAUCAUAAGGCAAGGAAUCCGGAUCGUUAAGUGGACAAGCCGGUGGAGACACGCGUUUGAAAGGAGCGCUUUAAAGGUACUCAUUGUAUGCUCUUGGAUAAUGAUCAAGUAUGGAACAAGAACCGAACAUACAAUGUUUUGAAGCUUCCGCGUCAAUCUAAAUUUGUUAUAGACAAUGUUCGUUUUGUUAACACUUAACUUGAAGCCUUGGAUGUUUUAAACUAGUAGUUAGUUAACUAGAACUCUAUCACUAUGCAAACUUACCAUUUUGUCU